AUUGAACGCUGGCGGCAGGCUUAACACAUGCAAGUCGAGCGAGAGGCGGACGGGGGAGUAAUGUAUGGGGACUGCUGGAUUGAGGGGGAUAACUACUGGAAACGGUAGCUAAUAACGCAUACUAUCGGUUAUCCCAUAUGGGAUUAGCUAGUAGGUGAGGUAAUGGCUCACCUUGGCGACGAACCCUAGCUGGUAUGAGAGGAUGAUCAGCCACACUGGGACUGGGACACGGCCCAUACUCCUACGGAGGCGGCAGGGGGGAUUAUUGCACAAUGGGCGAAGUCCUGAUGCGGCCCUGCGGCGUGUAGUAGGAGGGCCCUAGGGUUGUAAAGUACUUUCAGUCGGGAGGCGUUACCGACAGAGGAAGCACCGGCUAACUCCGUGCCAGCAGCCGCGGUAAUAC
rnacentral:rRNA from 1 species